GAUGAACGCUGGCGGCGCGCCUAAUACAUGCAAGUCGAGCGAACGGACGAGAAGCUUGCUUCUCUGAUGUUAGCGGCGGACGGGUGAGUAACACGUGGAUAACCUACCUAUAAGACUGGGAUAACUUCGGGAAACCGGAGCUAAUACCGGAUAAUAUUUUGAACCGCAUGGUUCAAAAGUGAAAGACGGUCUUGCUGUCACUUAUAGAUGGAUCCGCGCUGCAUUAGCUAGUUGGUAAGGUAACGGCUUACCAAGGCAACGAUGCAUAGCCGACCUGAGAGGGUGAUCGGCCACACUGGAACUGAGACACGGUCCAGACUCCUACGGGAGGCAGCAGUAGGGAAUCUUCCGCAAUGGGCGAAAGCCUGACGGAGCAACGCCGCGUGAGUGAUGAAGGUCUUCGGAUCGUAAAACUCUGUUAUUAGGGAAGAACAUAUGUGUAAGUAACUGUGCACAUCUUGACGGUACCUAAUCAGAAAGCCACGGCUAACUACGUGCCAGCAGCCGCGGUAAUACGUAGGUGGCAAGCGUUAUCCGGAAUUAUUGGGCGUAAAGCGCGCGUAGGCGGUUUUUUAAGUCUGAUGUGAAAGCCCACGGCUCAACCGUGGAGGGUCAUUGGAAACUGGAAAACUUGAGUGCAGAAGAGGAAAGUGGAAUUCCAUGUGUAGCGGUGAAAUGCGCAGAGAUAUGGAGGAACACCAGUGGCGAAGGCGACUUUCUGGUCUGUAACUGACGCUGAUGUGCGAAAGUGUGGGGAUCAAACAGGAUUAGAUACCCUGGUAGUCCACGCCGUAAACGAUGAGUGCUAAGUGUUAGGGGGUUUCCGCCCCUUAGUGCUGCAGCUAACGCAUUAAGCACUCCGCCUGGGGAGUACGACCGCAAGGUUGAAACUCAAAGGAAUUGACGGGGACCCGCACAAGCGGUGGAGCAUGUGGUUUAAUUCGAAGCAACGCGAAGAACCUUACCAAAUCUUGACAUCCUUUGACAACUCUAGAGAUAGAGCCUUCCCCUUCGGGGGACAAAGUGACAGGUGGUGCAUGGUUGUCGUCAGCUCGUGUCGUGAGAUGUUGGGUUAAGUCCCGCAACGAGCGCAACCCUUAAGCUUAGUUGCCAUCAUUAAGUUGGGCACUCUAAGUUGACUGCCGGUGACAAACCGGAGGAAGGUGGGGAUGACGUCAAAUCAUCAUGCCCCUUAUGAUUUGGGCUACACACGUGCUACAAUGGACAAUACAAAGGGCAGCGAAACCGCGAGGUCAAGCAAAUCCCAUAAAGUUGUUCUCAGUUCGGAUUGUAGUCUGCAGCUCGACUACAUGAAGCUGGAAUCGCUAGUAAUCGUAGAUCAGCAUGCUACGGUGAAUACGUUCCCGGGUCU
rnacentral:rRNA from 1 species